rnacentral:rRNA from 1 species
AUUGAACGCUGGCGGCAUGCCUUACACAUGCAAGACGAACGGCAGCACGGGUGCUUGCACCUGGUGGCGAGUGGCGAACGGGUGAGUAAUACAUCGGAACGUACCUUAUCGUGGGGGAUAACGCAGCGAAAGUUGCGCUAAUACCGCAUACGCCCUGAGGGGGAAAGCGGGGGACCGUAAGGCCUCGCGCGAUUAGAGCGGCCGAUGUCUGCUUAGCUUGUUGGUGAGGUAAAAGCUCACCAAGGCGAUGAUCAGUAGCUGGUCUGAGAGGACGAUCAGCCACACUGGGACUAAGACACGGCCCAGACUCCUACGGGAGGCAGCAGUGGGGAAUUUUGGACAAUGGGGGCAACCCUGAUCCAGCAAUGCCGCGUGAGUGAAGAAGGCCUUCGGGUUGUAAAGCUCUUUUGCCAGGGAAGAAACAGCAGCUCUAACACAGUCUGCGAAUGACGGUACCUGAAGAAUAAGCACCGGCUAACUACGUGCCAGCCGCCGCGGUAA